GUAGUAUUCCAUGGUGUAUAUGUGCCACAUUUUCUUUAUCCAUUUAUCUGUUAAUGGAAACUUAGGUUGAUUGCAUGUCUUGGCUAUUGUGAAUAGUAUUGCAAUAAACAUGAGAGUUCAGGUAUCCCUUUGCUAUACUGAUAUAU